rnacentral:rRNA from 1 species
UACAGAGGUCCCAAGCGUUGUUCGGAUUCAUUGGGCGUAAAGGGUGCGUAGGCGGCAGGGUAAGUUGGAUGUGAAAUCCUGGGGCUUAACCUCAGAAUUGCAUUCAAUACUGCCUUGCUAGAGAGCUGUAGAGGAGACUGGAAUUUACGGUGUAGCGGUGAAAUGCGUAGAUAUCGUAAGGAAGACCAGUGGCGAAGGCGGGUCUCUGGACAGUUCCUGACGCUGAGGCACGAAGGCCAGGGGAGCAAACGGG